UAUUAUAACGUAUGUAAAUGAAUUAAGGCUAGGGUAGUAAUAGUUAAGGUCUUGAAACUCAAAGAAUUUGGCGGUUUUUUAGUCCUUUCAGAGGAAUCUGUCCUGUAAUUGAUAGUACACGAUUUUUUUUACUUUCUUUAUUUUGGUUUGUAUACCGCCGUCAUAAGAUUAUCUUGAGGAGAGUAACAAAUUUCUUUAUGUUGAAUUAGGAGUUAUGUCAGGUCAAGGUGCAGCUUAUGGGGAAGUGAGAGAUGGAUUACAAUAAUUAGAAUUAGAUGAAUUAAAUUAAAAUAUAUUUAUGAAGGUGGAUUUGAUUGUAAAUAUGUUUUUAGAAUAACGUAUUGAUUUUGGCUCUAAAAUGUGCACACAUCGCCCGUCGCUCUCGUUAAUAGGUGAG
rnacentral:rRNA from 1 species